rnacentral:rRNA from 1 species
AUUGAACGCUGGCGGCAGGCUUAACACAUGCAAGUCGAACGAGUGGCGGACGGGUGAGUAAUGUCUGGGAAACUGGCUGCUGGAGGGGGAUAACUACUGGAAACUGUAGCUAAUACCGCAUCCCAUAGGAUGAGCACAAAGGGUAUUAGCUAGUUGGUGGGGUAAAGGCUAACCAAGGCGACGAUCUCUAGCUUGUCUGAGAGGAUGACCAGCAACACUGUAACUGAGACACGGACCAGACUCCUACGGGAGGAAGUAGGGGGGAAAAUUGCACAAUGGGCGCAAGCCUGAGGCAGCCAUGCCGCGUGAAUGAAGAAGGCCUUCGGGUUGUAAAGUUCUUUCAGUAGCGAGGCGUUAAGUACAGAAGAAGCACCGGCUAACUCCGUGCCAGCAGCCGCGGUAAUUC